AUGUUGUGUGCAAUUGUUAACUUUCUUACAUUAUUUUUAUUCUUAAAGAUUAAUAUCAUUGGCACUAAUUCAUUGUUCCUUAUAAAACUUCCUUAUUUUGAUUUUCAUUUAGUUAUUAUUUCAUUUUAUUUCCUCCCUAAGGGUAGUACAUUUCCACUAACUCAUUCCUUUUUAGGAUUUGUUUUUGAAAAUUCCUCUAUUAUACGUCAAUUCUUGCAUUUAAAAAAAAUUGUAUAUUGUGUGCAAAUUUUGUCAUUGUUUGAUUUAGAUAUUUAUUUUAUUUUAUUUCUUCUUAAAGGGUAA
rnacentral:rRNA from 1 species